ACGCUGGCGGCAGGCCUAACACAUGCAAGUCUAGCGGUAGAGAGAAGCUUGCUUCUCUUGAGAGCGGCGGACGGGUGAGUAAUGCCUAGGAAUCUGCCUGGUAGUGGGGGAUAACGUUCGGAAACGGACGCUAAUACCGCAUACGUCCUACGGGAGAAAGCAGGGGACCUUCGGGCCUUGCGCUAUCAGAUGAGCCUAGGUCGGAUUAGCUAGUUGGUGAGGUAAUGGCUCACCAAGGCGACGAUCCGUAACUGGUCUGAGAGGAUGAUCAGUCACACUGGAACUGAGACACGGUCCAGACUCCUACGGGAGGCAGCAGUGGGGAAUAUUGGACAAUGGGCGAAAGCCUGAUCCAGCCAUGCCGCGUGUGUGAAGAAGGUCUUCGGAUUGUAAAGCACUUUAAGUUGGGAGGAAGGGUUGUAGAUUAAUACUCUGCAAUUUUGACGUUACCGACAGAAUAAGCACCGGCUAACUCUGUGCCAGCAGCCGCGGUAAUACAGAGGGUGCAAGCGUUAAUCGGAAUUACUGGGCGUAAAGCGCGCGUAGGUGGUUUGUUAAGUUGGAUGUGAAAUCCCCGGGCUCAACCUGGGAACUGCAUUCAAAACUGACUGACUAGAGUAUGGUAGAGGGUGGUGGAAUUUCCUGUGUAGCGGUGAAAUGCGUAGAUAUAGGAAGGAACACCAGUGGCGAAGGCGACCACCUGGACUAAUACUGACACUGAGGUGCGAAAGCGUGG
rnacentral:rRNA from 1 species